rnacentral:lncRNA from 1 species
CUAAUUAAUUCUUUAAAAAUAGUAGAGUCUCAGUCCCAGUGGGACUCUCCCCCAAAGUCCUAGUCGGAGUAGGACUCUUCACUAGAGUCACAAUCCAACUGGACUCCUCAGCCAUCAGAUCUAACAAAUCUUCUAAUGCGUAUGAUCUCAUAGGUUCGAAUCUAAGUCAGUAGCUUAGAAAUAACUUUCUAUACCAAUCGAUUUAACCAUCUAGCAAUGAUAAUCCAACGACCGGAU